rnacentral:rRNA from 1 species
CAGCCGCCGCGGGAAUACGAAGGGGGCUAGCGUUGCUCGGAAUGACUGGGCGUAAAGGGCGCGUAGGCGGUUUCUUAAGUCUGAUGUGAAAGCCCCCGGCUCAACCGGGGAGGGUCAUUGGAAACUGGGAAACUUGAGUGCAGAAGAGGAGAGUGGAAUUUCACGUGUAGCGGUGAAAUGCGUAGAGAUGUGGAGGAACACCAGUGGCGAAGGCGACUCUCUGGUCUGUAACUGACGCUGGGGAGCGAAAGCGUGGGGAGCGAACAGGAUUAGAUACCCGAGUAGUCCCUGUCUCUUAUAA